CUGGGAAAAGAUCAACAUGCAAAAUUCAAGCUCUACUGAAAUAGACAAGUGGAGACUAGAAGAAGCUUGAAGACAAAUCCAUCACAAAUGCAUUGAACAAAAUAUGCUAGAAAAGAAGGCCCGAGAGUCCCUGGCAAACCACUGGUGUAAGUCCAAGAGUCCAAAAGCAGAAGAACUUGCAGACUGAUGUUUGGGGGCAGGAAGCAACCAGCAUAGAAGAACGAAGAAUACUAGAAGACUCAGCAAGUCAGCUCCUUCCACCUUCUUCUGCUUGCUUUAUUCUAGCUGCUCUGGCAGCUGAUUACAUGGUGCUCACCCAGAUUGCGGGUGGGUCUGCAUCUCCCAGUUCACUGACACAAAUGUUAAUCUCCUUUGGCAACACCCUCACAGACACACCCAGGAACAAUACUUUGCAUCCUCAGUCAAGUUGACACUCAACAUUAGCCAUCACAAGUCCAUCCCUUGUCAACUUGAACCCAUACACAUCUCCUGAAAUUACACAUAAUCUUCAAAUAAAGACAAUAAUGAUGUCAUAAUUACACCUAACUUAAUACGGCUAUCCUUCAUACAACCAGAAGUGAAUUAUUAACCGAAAUGCUAUUACAUAAAGUUAAUAACACUUAACUGCUGAUAUGAAGUUAAUAAUGUCACUUGAUAAGGGAAAAGCAAAGGAAAUAAAUAAAGGUAUUUUCUUAGUAGAAGUGUAUACAUGCACAAACAUGUAAGGAGGAAAUCCACAUGACAAUUACAGGUCUCAUUUCUGCAACUGGUCUUGUGGUCAUAGCUGGUAUUGAUGACUACCUUUUUCUACUAACCAUUCUGUAUUCCCUUUGCCUUCAGCUAGCACCUCAGCAGGCUGUUAUUUUUUUACCUGGUGAAGUCACCCAACCCUUCAUUCCUGAAGAGUCUGGGCCAUUUGUAGUCCUGCCUAGAUUGGAUUGUUGUAGUUUUCCACUGACCUUAAUCACAGGGCAUGGUAGUACUAAAAGACGGCCUAAGGGAUCUCCUGUAUUCCACACAUAUUCUUCCUUACCUCCACUGUGGAGUAGUAACCUGAUUUCAUCUUGAUAGUCCAGGUCAAUCACCCAAGUCAACACUGUAACUCCUUUCUUGACCUGUUGACUUAGAGGUGGGAGGAGCCCAAAGUGGCCAGGUGGCAAUUUUAACUUUCAGUUUAAUGGUAUCAUUCUUGUGUCGACUGGUGGCAGAAUUCUUCCCUCUGGAACUAAGGCCAGCAGAACAUAAUGUUGGGGGAACUGGAAGUAAAAUUUUUGCUAGUGGGUCACUAGGAGUGAUGGUGAGUGGUGCCACUUCUACUUCUACCCCUUGAUUCUUAGGCCUGUGAAUGCUGGCUAUGAGGGAAACAGUACCAUAUAUUGGAUGCUGAUUCAGGACAUACUCAGCCUUC
rnacentral:lncRNA from 10 species